UUUAGUCAAUUUACUUAGAUAGUAUUAAUUAUGGGAUUGAGUUUAUUGCAUUUGUUAAUUAAGCUAAGCUGGAUUAUUGAAUAUCAUCAUAAUCUGUUAAAAGUCAUAAUUUAUAGCAUUAUUAUUCAAUUACAACUUGGAAAAUUUGCAGCGUAGGACACAUGUCUUUGAUAGAUUUUAUAAUCGAGAAUCGGAUAUAAAAGGAAUACGUAUUCAUUCUACAUACAUAAAUCAUAGAACUUUCUCAAAUAUUGAAUAUUUUCCGCAAAAGAAUAGAAAAAAAAAAGUAUGAACAAAUUUGUUCCUACCACUCUAAUAGGAAAUUUUUUGCUAAUUACGAUCUUAGCAAUCAUCGUUUCUAGCAUUACUAUUCAAGGAAGUAUAUGCGAAUCUUGUGCUUCAUUUUGCCUUUCAAUGGGUUUUCCGCCAGGGAAUUGCUCCGAAAAUGAUAUAUCGUGCAGCUGCGGCAACACACAAGGAAAUGUAUGCGAAUUAUGUGCUUCAUUUUGCUCUAGGAUGGGUUUUCCGGCAGGGGAUUGCUCCGACAAUGAUAUAUUGUGCAGCUGCGGCAGCAAACACGCUUAACAGAUGAUAAUGCUAUUCAAUAAUAUCGGCUUAAUCAAGAGAAGCAAUUAAAACUCAAACGUUUCCACGAGUAAUGUUGUUUUGUUGAACAUAACAAAUAAACUUUCAUGUGGAAGGUACCACCUAAGUAAGCAAAUUUUUGCGUUUUUACUUAGUAAUGAAACUUCAUAGGAAAUGCAACUUGUAUAUGUCAACCAAACAAUGUAAUACAUUACCACUUUGUAUAAUGUGUUCUUUGAUUUUUGUUAUCAAUUAAACAAGCACCUAUGUUAUUUUUAUUCAUAAUCUCAUAAAGAAACUCUAAUUUUCUUGUCUUCCAUUUUGGCGUGCUUUUAACUUACAUUCAUUUGUUGGCACUUAGUACUUACAUUCAUUUGUUGGUUACUUAAGUGUGUACCUUCCUUUAUUUUAGCAAUGUUAAAGUAGGAUCCUAAUGACAAAAAACUGAUUAAUUUAAUUAGUAUUUCCGUUUUUUAUAAUUCUAUUUGAUUACUGUAGCAAUACAUACUAAAGAAAAGUGAAAAUGAAACUAUGCAUGUGUAUAUUUUUACUUUAAAGAGGAGAGAUAUGGAGAGUAAUAGGUUAAUUAAAUAAAUUGGACCCAAAACGAGAUUGUAGGUGAAAAAAAAAAAAUUGUCAUAAAAAAAAAGAGUAAAUUGAGCAAACUUAAAAAAAAAGUAUAAAAACAGAAAGUGAGUUAUCUCCUAAGAUUCAAAGAAAACGGAGAAAAUAGUACAUUUGUUUAUUCCUCCGGUUUUAUUUUUAUUUUACUUAUGUACUAUAUUAAUUUGGCUAUAUUAUGAAUUCACGACUUUUAACACUACUGUUACACCAUAAAAACAUUUAGUUUGACUUUCAAAACACAACUUGCGCUUAAAAAGGUUAGCAAAGUUGGACAAGA